AUGAUCCCGCCCCUUCAGCAGAUCAGACGGCCUGCCCCUGAGCUCAGAAAUGCUGAACCGACAAGAAGCAAGGACAUCGCGACAAGGAAAGAAAAGCACUGCGGAAACAAACUUCCCUCAAUUGAAAUGGUUUCCUUUUGAGAAAAUCAUUAAAUAUUGACUUCCGAGCCGAAGACCAUGCCACGCAAGCAUUUCAUCUCCUGGGCCACAAAAUGAGUGUGGGUGAGUUCUGAUGUACCGGCUUGUGUGCUGUUGUUCGAGGUGUCAUUCCAACAGAAGGAUUAAAGACAUAGGUGUGCUCAAGUUGUUACAAAUAUAAUUUGUUGUACCCAAUUAUACGAGGGACGUGCCAAAGGUUUUCAGCCUCACCUUGAAAUCAAAUACAUACCUCUAUGCUCAUAGCUAGAUAGGCCAACUCUUUGCGUGUCUAAAAAAUUGCUUCUCAAUCAAAAGAAGAAUUGCAUGCAGUAAUUACAGGUAAAUACAUGCGUUUGGAAAAAAAGAAAAGUCUAAACUAAAGACAAUAGUGUCAACAGAGGGCAAAGAGCCUUCAUCCAGGAGAGUCAAUGCAUCAAAUGUUGUAGAAUACUUUUGGUCUCUUGUCUUGUUUUCUAGAUUUUCUACCCUUGUACUAAAAAAAAGGAUAAUCAAUAAAGUUUAACACCGUUA